rnacentral:rRNA from 1 species
UACGGGGGGGGCAAGCGUUGUUCGGAAUUACUGGGCGUAAAGGGUCUGUAGGUGGCUUGUUAAGUCAGACGUGAAAUCCCUCAGCUUAACUGGGGAACUGCGUCUGAUACUGGCGAGCUUGAGUGCAGGAGAGGAACGCGGAAUUCCAGGUGUAGCGGUGAAAUGCGUAGAUAUCUGGAGGAACACCGGUGGCGAAGGCGGCGUUCUGGACUGUAACUGACACUGAGAGACGAAAGCCAGGGUAGCAACGGG